UACGAAGGGGGCUAGCGUUGCUCGGAAUUACUGGGCGUAAAGCGCACGUAGGCGGGUCGUUAAGUCGGGGGUGAAAUCCUGGAGCUCAACUCCAGAACUGCCUUCGAUACUGGCGAUCUCGAGUCCGGGAGAGGUGAGUGGAACUGCGAGUGUAGAGGUGAAAUUCGUAGAUAUUCGCAAGAACACCAGUGGCGAAGGCGGCUCACUGGCCCGGUACUGACGCUGAGGUGCGAAAGCGUGGGGAGCAAACAGG
rnacentral:rRNA from 1 species